GUGGGGAAUCCUACGGAAGGCAGCCGUGGGGAAUGCUGGACAAUGGGGGCGAACCNUGAUNCAGCCAUGCCGCGUGAGUGAUGAAGGNCCUAGGGUCGUAAGCUCUUUCGCCUGUGAAGAUAAUGACUGUAGCAGGUAAAGAAACCCCGGCUAACUCCGUGCCAGCAGCCGCGGUAAUACGGAGGGGGUUAGCGUUGUUCGGAAUUACUGGGCGUAAAGCGCGCGUAGGCGGACUGGAAAGUUGGGGGUGAAAUCCCAGGGCUCAACCCUGGAACUGCCUCCAAAACUAUCAGUCUAGAGUUCGAGAGAGGUGAGUGGAAUUCCGAGUGUAGAGGUGAAAUUCGUAGAUAUUCGGAGGAACACCGAGGGCGAAGGCGGCUCACUGGCUCGAUACUGACGC
rnacentral:rRNA from 1 species